rnacentral:rRNA from 1 species
AACGAACGCUGGCGGCGUGCCUAACACAUGCAAGUCGAACGGAAUUAGAGAGCUUGCUCUUUAAUUUAGUGGCGCACGGGUGAGUAACGCGUAGAUAAUCUGCCUGAUGAUCUGGGAUAACAUUUCGAAAGGGGUGCUAAUACCGGAUAAGCCCACGGUGUCUUCGGACAUUGCGGGAAAAGGGGGGGACCUUCGGGCCUUCUGUCAUCAGAUGAGUCUGCGUACCAUUAGCUAGUUGGUGGGGUAAGAGCCUACCAAGGCGACGAUGGUUAGCUGGUCUGAGAGGAUGAUCAGCCACACGGGAACUGAGACACGGUCCAGACUCCUACGGGAGGCAGCAGUGGGGAAUUUUGCGCAAUGGGCGAAAGCCUGACGCAGCAACGCCGCGUGAGUGAUGAAGGCCUUCGGGUCGUAAAGCUCUGUCAAUGGGAAAGAAAUGUAUUGUGUCUAAUAUGCAUGAUACUUGACGGUACCCAUAAAGGAAGCACCGGCUAACUCCGUGCCAGCCGCCGUAAAAC